rnacentral:pre_miRNA from 1 species
GGGGGGGGGGGGGGAUCCCUCAGCCCGGAUUGUGAGAGGGCACAGGCCAGACUGAGGGACCCCAAGAGUGCACA